rnacentral:rRNA from 1 species
GAGAUUUUCGCAAUGCCCGAAAGGGUGACGAAGCGACGCCGCGUGCGGGAAGAAGGCCUUCGGGUUGUAAACCGCUGUCGGGAGUUAAGAAAUGUAAGGAUGUUAAUAGCAUCUUUGCUUGACUAAGGCUCCGGAGGAAGCCACGGCUAACUCCGUGCCAGCAGCCGCGGUAAUACAGAGGCGGCAAGCGUUGUUCGGAAUUAUUGGGCGUAAAGAGCACGUAGGCGGCUAUGUAAGUCGGUUGUGAAAGCCUUCCGCUCAACGGGAGAACAGCAUCCGAUACUGCAUGGCUUGAGUGCGGGAGGGGAGAGUGGAACUUCUGGUGGAGCGGUGAAAUGCGUAGAUAUCAGAAGGAACGCCGGCGGCGAAAGCGGCUCUCUGGCCCAUAACUGACGCUGAGUGUGCGAAAGCUAGGGGAGCAAACGGGAUUAGAUACCCCGGUAGUCCUAGCCGUAAACGAUGGGCACUAAGUAGAGGGGUUUUA